ACUGUUUUAACGAACGGGUAGUAGUCGUUUCGAAUACGUUUUAACAAACAACGUAGUUACUAAAAUAGAUCAGCUUUGAAGAAUAAAUGGCUUAGAUCAAGUUUUAACAAAAGAGGUGGAGAACGGACUCGAGCGUUAAACGUCUUCAUAUAGACAGAACGUAUACUGAAUUAGAGAAACAAGCUCUGCCCAGACUAACAACAGGGAAUAUGGGAUUUCUUGUAUUGACCAUCAGUUAACUCUAAGGAACAGAGAUUUUGAAAAAUUCCAUUUGGAGAUUAGCCAGUCCUAUCUGUCCUGAAGCUUUCUCCAUAGUGUUGCCACCUGUUGGAAGACGAUAACGGGAUUUAAGGAGAGAGAGUACAGUAUAAUCUGUCUUCUUUAUGCCUCCUGGAAAAUCAACUUUCUUCGAGUUAUUUGGAGAACGAUGACUGUCAUACUAGAAAGCAGCCCUUGAAGAAUGUGAGGAUCUCUUGGAUAGAAUAUUAGGCGCCUUUUAUAGUAUUGUUCACUUCGGGCUUGCACU